rnacentral:tRNA from 1 species
AAGAUAUUAGUAAAAACGAUUACAUGACUUUGUCAAAGUCAAAUUAUAAGAUAAAACUUAUAUAUCUGA